rnacentral:lncRNA from 1 species
UAAUUACAGUAUUGGAUAAAGCACCCUGGUUUAAUAACACCUAACUAAACCAAGUUCCUAGCUAUAAAUUCUAUAAUGAAUCUGAUUUGUUCUUGGACCGGUUAAGAAAUAACACCUAACUAAACCAAGUUCCUAGCUAUAAAUUAUAUAAUGAAUCUAAUUUGUUGGACCAGUUAAGAGUAUGAUUGUUUCACUUUCCAUAGUAUUACCCAAACCAUGUUUGGAACAUUUUAUCAAUCUGGAACCAGCAUAUGUGACUUUUAUUUUGGAGUAUUUGAGAUGUGAUUAAGAACAGAACUAUUAGCGCAACUCUAGCUAUUGGAGAUGGAGCAAAUGAUGUUUUUUCCCUUACCUUUCUAUAACCAUAAACCUGAAUUUGCAUUUUUUUUAGCUUGCAGAGCCAUAGACCCCUACCCUCUCAACUACUACCUGAUUUAUUUGCAUUUGCUUUUGUUUUGCAGAAAAUCAAGCACCCUAACUACAAAGGAAAAUGGAGAACCCAAUGGAUAAAUAAUCUAAGUUUGUUUAGUGCCUAUAUGUAUAUCCAGGUUCUUUGUCUUAAUUUUGUAUAGAUUUCAGACUUUCAUAUGCACUAGUAAAUGCUUAACUUUCGUAUGUAGUCUCAGCUUGAAUUGUACUUAAAGUUUCUAGCAAUACUUUGUACAUUAAUUUAGUUCUAUCCCAUACCUUUGAUUCAAAGAAGGCCAUCAUACAAGGG